rnacentral:misc_RNA from 1 species
GAUGAAGAACGCAGCAAAAUGCGAUAAGUAAUGUGAAUUGCAGAAUUCAGUGAAUCAUCGAAUCUUUGAACGCACAUGGCGCCCGCCAGUAUUCUGGCGGGCAUGCCUGUUCGAGCGUCAUUUCAACCCUCAAGCACAGCUUGGUGUUGGGACUCGCGUUAAUUCGCGUUCCCCAAAUUGAUUGGCGGUCACGUCGAGCUUCCAUAGCGUAGUAGUAAAACCCUCGUUACUGGUAAUCGUCGCGGCCACGCCGUUAAACCCCAACUUCUGAAUGUUGACCUCGGAUCAGGUAGGAAUACCCGCUGAACUUAAGCAUAUCCAAUAAGCGGAGGA